rnacentral:rRNA from 1 species
ACGGUUCAGUCGCACGUGGAUAACCUGGCCUAAGGUGGAGGAUAACCCCGGGAAACUGGGGAUAAUACUCCAUAGAUUAGAGAUACUGGAAUGUUCUUUAAUCGAAAGUUCCGGCGCCUUAGGGUGGAUCUGCGGCCGAUUAGGUAGUUGUUGGGGUAACGGCCCAACAAGCCCGUAAUCGGUACGGGUUGUGGGAGCAAGAGCCCGGAGAUGGAAUCUGAGACACGAUUCCAGGCCCUACGGGGCGCAGCAGGCGCGAAAACUUUACAAUGCAGGAAACUGUGAUAAGGGAACCCCGAGUGCCCGUAUACGCGGGCUGUCCAGGUGUUUAAAAUGCAUCUGAAGAAAGGGCCGGGCAAGACCGGUGCCAGCCGCCGCGGUAAUACCGGCGGCUCGAGUGGUGGCCACUUUUAUUGGGCUUAAAGCGUUCGUAGCUGGAUUUUUAAGUCUCUUGGGAAAUCUGCAGGCUUAACCUGCAGGCGUUCAAGAGAUACUGGGAAUCUAGGAACCGGGAGAGGUAAGAGGUACUCCAGGGGUAGAAGUGAAAUUCUGUAAUCCUUGGGGGACCACCGAUGGCGAAGGCAUCUUACCAGAACGGCUUCGACAGUGAGGAACGAAAGCUGGGGGAGCGAACCGGAUUAGAUACCCGGGUAGUCCCAGCCGUAAACGAUGCGCGUUAGGUGUACCGGUGACCACGAGUCACUGGGGUGCCGAAGGGAAACCGUGAAACGUGCCGCCUGGGAAGUACGGUCGCAAGGCUGAAACUUAAAGGAAUUGGCGGGGGAGCAC